CGUACACUCCUGCGGGCGGCAGCAGUGGGGAAUAUUGCACAAUGGGCGCAAGCCUGAUGCAGCGACGCCGCGUGGGGGAUGAAGGCCUUCGGGUUGUAAACUCCUUUCGCUAGGGACGAAGCUUUUUUGUGACGGUACCUAGAUAAGAAGCACCGGCUAACUACGUGCCAGCAGCCGAGGUAAUACGUAGGGUGCGAGCGUUGUCCGGAAUUACUGGGCGUAAAGGGCUCGUAGGUGGUUUGUCGCGUCGUCUGUGAAAUUCUGGGGCUUAACUCCGGGCGUGCAGGCGAUACGGGCAUAACUUGAGUGCUGUAGGGGUAACUGGAAUUCCUGGUGUAGCGGUGAAAUGCGCAGAUAUCAGGAGGAACACCGAUGGCGAAGGCAGGUUACUGGGCAGUUACUGACGCUGAGGAGCGAAAGCAUGGGUAGCGAACAGGAUUAGAAACCCCUGUAGUCCCAUG
rnacentral:rRNA from 1 species